ensembl:lncRNA
CAGUUCCCAUACAAAAGAAGAAACUGAUUUAAAUGCUAACUUCUAUUAUGAGUAGAAGAGCAGUAGUAUAGCUUUAGCUCAUCGUUUGAGAUUGUGUUAGUAGUCUCGUUUUUGUGGAAGUGAUAAUUAUCUGUAUGUAUGAAUGAAGAGAUUGUUUACCAGGAAGCUGAAGACUGAAGAGGCAAAAAGUACAUGCACAGAGGAGCACGAAAACCUCUCCCAAGAUCUGGUAAACUUCAGAAGAUGGCGGUAUUUUUGAAACCAGAACAGCUGAAAGUGGGACAUCAUGUCUCAGCUGAAUCCAAACAAUGCCACCCUUUCUUAAUGGUGACUGUGGAUGUAAUCAAGGUCUAUGAAACUGAAAAUCAUGUUGUCAUCAAAAGUUUAAGUCAAAAUGUUAAAGACUAAUUUUCAAGAUGUUGUCCUGUAGAAGUGCCAAACAAGAAAGAUUACUGAUAGCAUUCAAAGGUUUUUAGAAAUAACCUUUUGUCCAAGAAAAACAAUU